rnacentral:lncRNA from 1 species
GGGUUCAGGCCUAACGAUUUUUGAAGAAAGUAUAUGCUUUCCUAAAGUCAAUCCAUUAUACCCCAACUUAUAUAGAUACGAAACGGGCAUAAAUGCGUACAAACGAUAACAAAAGAGGGAUACAAUCUUUGGGGAAAAAGGGAAAUAACAUGAAAAAGGAUAAGUUCCCGCACAGGGGAGAAUAGAAAAACUAGUUACUGGAGGCUCCUUCGUCUGCCUUUGCCUUCUUAGCUUUGUUCACUUCUCAUAUUGGUGACAUCC